GCGCCGCGGAUUCUGCCGCACGGGGCUCGGCGAGCCCGGCCCGGGGAAGGGGGGCACCUGCCCCGGUGCACCGGGAGCAGGCUCGGGGUCGUGCCGGGCUCAAGGCUAGAGCGCGGAAAUCCAGGUGGGCGGCUGCCCCUCCGCGGGUCGGGCUCACCUGCGUGUGCCGUCGGUUUUCUGAGGCACCGGCAGGUUCAGGUGGGCUCCUCGGGGGGGUGGCGUGCGGGGAGGGCUCGAAGUCCCCCGGGAAAAACGGUCUGCUUCGUUACAGGCGCUGUCACGGCUCUAGGGCAACUCAGUGCUCCUGAGGCUCGGGCUCCUGUCCCCAGGUGGAAAGCAGAAGGACAGAGCAGGUGCUCCGGGAGGUCGAGGCACUCCUAGAGCACUCCUACAGCAGCGGCACCUUCGCGUCGUGUGUGUGACUGAUUUGUUUGGGCAAAAUGCUUCAUAAAUGCAAAGAUGUGGAGGGUGCGCAGCGGGGCGAGGUAGAUUUACGGUACUGGGAAGCGAUACAUCAAGAUUUAUGAGCAGAAUCGUGUAUAAUGAAGGGUAAUUUGUUAAGACGGAUUCCUCUGCCACAUCCCCCAGCACUGUUAGGAGUGUGGUGACCUUGCCCAGGGCACUGUGACAUGCUGGUAUUGUACAAUGCGAGGGUAAACAGCAUGAGGUAUGAGUGCCUACAGUUUGUCUACAGCACAGGACUUCAUAUGUACAUACAGUUAACAUAACGGACGUAAAUUAUGUAGUAAUUUUUGGAAAAUGAAUCAGAAGUGGGUAGCUUCACUAAUAAGUUAUUAAACCAGUUAAUUCUGCAGUGUUACGGUUACCCAAAAUCUAAAUCUGUCUUUGCACGUGAUCUGCUUAUUCCUAUAUUAAAAGCAAAUGCCAGCAGACGUUCAGCAAUGACACUGGCUUUUUUUUUUUCUUUUUUGGUCAAAGACAACUAUUGCUUGAUUGAGCAAAGGACCUGGGCAGGCUGCCACGAAGCCAUAGCCAACUUCUUAAAGCCACUGUGUAUUAAAAUUGAUGGUGUCAGACGUUUUGGUUAAGGUGGAUAGAAUACUAACGUCCUGGAUUUAUGCGCUUCCGUAACUUAAGUGCUGUUCAUGAUACAUAUGUCCUUUAAUUGAGCGAAUUACGUGACAGCAUAACACAAUGUGUACAAAUAACAUCUGUUGAUUCCAAGUACGUUCUGUAGUUCCGAUACUUUUAUGUCUCAGGGAUUUUUGUCCUUUCUGUAUGUAUUUGUCACUCUGGCUGCUGUAGCUGCAACACAUAUUGGUAUGCCUCCUUCCAACUUCCAUUAAUGGGAAGGGAGGGGAAUUUAAAUCUAAAAACAUCUACAUGUGUUGUCUGGCUUGCUGGUUGCCAGAGCAGCUUCUCCAUCACAAUAGAUCCAAUCCAGCACAGGUAGGUAGUUGUACAAGUUCUCUCUUUUUCCCAAAGUUGACAUCUGUGGUUCAGCCCUGACAGUCAGGGCAGCAGUGUAACCAGUGGCUGGUUUUGAAGAAUAACAACCAAAACAAAAUGCAGUUUUAACCAUCAGUGUGCUGUCCUGUACAAUCAAGACGAAUAAAGGCUUGCAAUUAAGUCACCAUUGUGAUAACAGCUUUGCCAGCACUUACAUAAUUACUCUUUUGGUCUACUUUACUUUUCUAUUUAUUUGUUAAGGUUGUGCCAGUUGCCCAACAUAUACCCACAAAGAAAGUAUGUACAGGACAGCUACUGCUUCUUUCAUAGAAAUCCUGUCACGGAGGAGCCAUGGAGGUCUGCAGUCCUCCUGGUGGGAUCUGCACUCCCAGUGGGAUUGGCACUGGGAGCAGGGCUGGUUGCUCAGGGCUUUCUCCAGUGUUCCUCAUGAGGAUCCUCUGCAGGAUCCAUGUGCUGGAGCAGAGGCGUGCAGUAUGCAGCUGGGCAGCAGGAAGGAGCUGAGCCUUGACUGGAGCAAAGAGAGAGCUGAACCUUGGCUCUUCUGCUCUCAGAGAGGCAGACAGCAUGGCUGGGCUGCCGUGACAAGUAAGCGGUGCGUAAAAAGACCACUACAGUGUGCGUCCACCCUUUCUCCAACCUCUCAACCUUUUAGUGAGAGGAUCGAGCAGUCUGGUCCCUGCUGUGCUCCUGGCUUGGGACUGUCCCACACUGUCUCAUGUUCAGGCAGGAGCUGUGGUGCCCAGCAGCUCCCAGUCACUCUUCUUGAUUCGCCAACCUGGAUUUGUUUCUUAAACAAUGGGUGUACCUGCUGCAGUGAUGCAAAUGCCAGCCUUAGGUUUUCUGUGCUUACCAUAAUUUUUGCAGAGGUGGUUCACAUGCUGGUUAUGUUCCUGCUAUGCUUACGUUUUUUGUUAGGAUUCUCAAACUCAUUCCUUCCCUAAUAUGAUCACUUUUAUGUCAGUUCAAGAUUGGAAACAUGAAUUAAGCUGAUAAAAAGUAUCUAAUGCACUAAUUCACGGUUUACCAUAAUUUUAAAGAAAUCUGCCAUGAAAUAGGUUUUUGUGGCUUUUUUUGUUGCUAGCAAAACGGAGCAGCUUAGCUAUGAUGAAGCACAUACUUUCUGGCUAUUGAUUGGGAAAUGAACCAGGAUUUAACUCCCUUGUUGGAGUGGUGCCCUAUUGGUCUGAAAACUCGUAUUAAAUACCAUGUUUUACUGUUAGGGUAGUUCUGGACCACUAUGCUAUUAUGGAAAUUUGGAACUCGACUUACACAUUUAACAAACCCUUUAACGAUAAUGACCCCAGGGUGUUUCUGAGAUCACUACUCAAAUCUCGAUCACCUGUUACAAGAAAACACAACGAGCCUUAGUUAUUACAUCCGUAGUAUGUGGCUGAAAAGUACGCUUUCAGUUGCUAUACGCUGAAAAAAUCGGAACAAAUAUAUUUAAGUUUUGAAGCUCAGGACUUCACAGUCAGGAGAUGCCAGGGGUAAGGUUGCCUGUUGCUGCCUUGCUGUCCAGCCUCCUUACAGAGUAGGACUGUCUUUUAAUGAUGUUAUUGCAUCCCUUUUUUUUUUGCACAGAACUUUCUCCCUCAUUCAUUGUACGGGGUAACAAUCCCCAUAGCUGAGGGUAUCAAUCUAAAGCCUGAUGCAAAUUAAAUUUCCUCGCUGAGUGUUGCAAACUUCUUGCCAUUAACGUUUUAGCUGUGUUCCUAGAAGUUGUAAGAUUAUGUCCCAUUCUACAGAUGGGAGCCAGAGGCACGAUGAGAUUAAACUCACCAGUAUCAAAAACUGAGUAUUAGAACUUGAAUUUUUAGUAGUUAUAUUUCCCUGUUAUAAAUACUUUAAUACUUAAUUGCUCUCAGUGACUCCUGUUGCACAAUAAUUAUGCAGAUCAGGUUUCCAGGAUCUAAUUGUGCUAAACUUGCAGAGUAAGUCACAUUUCCUGCCUGUCUGGACAAAUUUUAUAUCAAGUGACUUGCUGCAAAUCAGACAGACGUGGGCAGACACUCAGGGCCACCGUUUACUCGGCGUAGUCUUAGAAACCCCAUUUUUUCCUGCUUGUUGUCUCCCACCCUUCCCUGCAUGCCUUCCAGCAUCAGCGAGAAAUAGAGCAGGAGUCCUGCAGCAAUUGGCUUAAUUAGCUACAGGGCUCUGAUCAAGGGCUGGAUCGUUGUCUGUCAUCAGACAGGGAAGUGUAUGUGAAGACACUGCCUGGUGUGGUCUUGGGCAAAGAUGAAAAAAACAACAAAGGUCCUUGGACCCCACUCAGUUUGGGGCCCGGCCAUUCCCCAUGCAAAUGGAAUUUGGGGCAACUUUUCCGUGGGUCUUCAGUGGUUUGCUCAAAAUGGCAUUUCAAAGUUUGAUAAAUCGGCCGGGUUUGGACAGAUUUUUCAGAGGCUGGUACUAAAAUGACUCCUUGAGCCUUCGCUGUGAUGGAUGAAGCACUGGUGAAUCAAGUAGCAUGAAAAUAUGCAGUGGGUCAAUGGACCUUGGCCUGAAAUUAUCUUGGAAGUGGAUGACCUGCAGCAUCAAAAAUUGUGAGCAUGAAGCAGGUUCGUGACUUAAAGCAAAUUUUACUCUGAACAAGCUGAAAUUAAGGUCUUCAAAUGGAAGGGUUUAGAAAACCUACGCUUUGGGCAUCCCUGAUCAGUCAGGAAGAUCUUACACACUGAUACGCAGCUACAGGUAUCUCUUCAAAUGUGACUGAAAUGCGUUUAUGUCAGAGAUGAUGCCGAACGUUAGCUGAAGUAGGAUAGGAAAUGGAGGAUAACUUGUCCAGCUGAAAACGUGGGAAGGCAUUGUGAGGCAGAAAAUAAUUACCACAUCCAGAAUUUGGCAGAGACAUCAAGGCGAUUCCCCCUCUCCUCCAAAGAGUAAUUUGUGGUUGGUUUGUGGGCUGUUGGGUUUUUAUUGGGUGCAAACGAUCAGGCGUGAGUUUGUGAUUUUGGGAGUCUGUGCUCCCUGGCACGAGCAGAGCCAUGGGGACAGGGGAAGAGCAAAAAAAUUAAAAAAAAAAAAUAAAAAAAAAUGGUGGUCACAAGCAGAGCUAAAUGAAUUGUAGCAAAGAUUUUGUUAUGCCAGUGUGGAGCCAAAACCUGCCAUAUUUCUGAAGCAUAUGAAAAACCUGGAGUUUGUUGGGGUCAGUCUGGUGUGCACGCUUUUAUGUCCCGUUUUAAAAUGAUGCCCGUGUUUUCAGAAAGCAAAGCAGAGACGUUCCCUACCCAUGCACUGGAGAGCACAAGAUGCCGAUUCUCGUGGAUGUUGAUAAGACGUGGAAGUGUAAGCUCCCCCCAGCCCUAACCCAUCAAUGGGAAAAGACUGUCCUUUGUCAAGGAGAAAAGCUAUGAAAGCUGUUCUUUAUUUGGGAUUGAGUGCUUCGGGGAAGAAAAAAAAAAAUGACUUCUGAGCGAUUCUUUUGGUUUGGCGUGCCAGGAAAUUUUCUGUGGUUGUAUCAGUCCUGCAAACAGAGUGAUAGCCAAACAAGUAGUCGUUAAUCUCAUAAAUUACAUUAAUCGCUCUGUACACGCAGUAUUAACGUUGGGAGGGCUUUCUAGGUGAACUUCUGUGAAAUAAGUAGAUGCUUCUCUUUGCGUGCAGGCAGCGUCCGUGCUCUGUAAUUUCCCUGUCCUCCCCGAGAUGCUCCCCGAGGACCAGGGCCCAGGCUGCGAGCGGGGGCGGCGGGGGCAGAAUACCACCAUUGUGAGCGCUGCCGCCACCUUCCCAUGACCCGCGGGAGCCAGAAGUGAAUUCCAGAAAUACAAUUACAAAAAUACCAAUAGGCUUGGCGUGCCAAAUGUUUCUCUAUCAGCGGGAGAUUGUGGAGGGAGCCACAGGCUCCCCGCAGCCUCGAAAUUCAGAGAGAGAGGUGAUUUUUUUCAUGCCCUCUCCCGUGGCUCCGCUGCCGUUCAUCACGUGAGAUCUGGAGUGACUCUGGAGGAGCUGCAGAGCUUCCGAGAGCAACAAGAAAACUAAUCUUCUGGUUUUACGUUUAAUACACAACUUCUGUAUGUGAACGAGUCCUGCUUCCAUCAAAGAGAGCUAUAUCAGAGAUUAUUUUCCCAAGGGAAAUGCAAAUUCAAAUUUGAUUACUUAAUUUCCUAACAUGAAGCCCAAAGCUCUGCUGAUAAAAUGACAAAGCGCUGCUGACAAGAGGGAUGGAUACCAUUUGGAUCAGUCAGUUGUGACUUAGCUAAAGAGGAAAGAUUCUUGAUAAAUCUCAUUUAGUCUGGAGCUUGGGUGUUCACUGGUUUUAAUCAUACAUUAAUCUUUAACAUAUACCUAUAUAUUUUUUCUAGGACGUUAUGAGGUCAGUCCUGUUUCCACUACAACUUAUUUAUGUUUAUUUUUAUUUUUGCUAUUGACUUUGUGUGGUUCCUGAAGCAUCCACCAGGUUCUUUCAGUUCUCAGUAGGCAAAUGUUUCUCCAUAUUUCUCCGCACCUACACAUGGCCGUGGUUUGUUCCACCGGUAGGUGUUUCCUGUGCGACCAGAAGCCUGCUGAUGACAGUCAGUGUGCCGCACAGUGCUUUUCUGGAGGAUCCCCGUUAGUCUGUAAUUGUUGCUGAUGUCUGCAGACCAUGAUACUUGAAACAAAUCAGAGUACUGUUUUUCCAGAAGCAGAAUGUGUAGUACAAAGUUCCUGUAUGUUUAGAUGGAUGUAUUUAUUGUUGGGUUUGUGUUGUUUGUUUUUUUUUUUUUUUUUUGAUACACAGGAGCUCACAUAGACUGGUAUAAAUAUUUAACUUAUUUGUCGGACUUUAAACUGUAACAAUGCUUCUCCAUCCCAAGAUUGCUUCUUAAUACCAGUCAUGGCAUGCUAAAUUACCCGUCGUUUCAGUUAUUUCCUACUAGGUGUGCUCUAUUUUUAUUCAUAUGACCGUAAUUCUAAAGGCCACUUUUCAUAUCCCCACUCAAGUGACUUUAUUUACAGUAAUAACUAUGCUAGACCGUUCAUACAGAACAUUUAUAUCCACAACAAACUGUGAGCUGCUAAGUGAGCGCCAUAGCAAUUCGCAUCAAUACAGCCUCGUGGAUGGCUGGCCAGCAGGCUCCUGAACACGAGAAGUUCCCGGACUCGGGAUGCCCCAGCAGGCUGGACUCUCACCCUGCUGCCUUCCAGUCACAUCCCCAGCACGAUGGGAUUUUCAGUUUCAGGAACCAGCAAAGAGUCACUUCUGAAACUUAAAAGUAAGGCAGUGUAAGAGGCUUCUUGACUGACAUCAAGCAUCCACAAGAGCACUGCGUUUCAUUGGCUCCUCGACAUGUCCUGUUUACAGCUCAAAAAUGAAAAUAUUUUGACAAUCACACCAUCCUGGUGCAGCAUAUACUGCAAAUAAGCAAAGAUUAGAUAUAUACAGAAAUAAGCACAGUAAGUAACUGCACUUGGUACAAAGAGGGAUCAAGAACAUUUGCAAUUAAGUGUAAUUGGUUCCAAAUAAACCCAAACUCCAAAAAAUCAUUGAAUUAAUUUAGGUAGUAAUUUAAAAUACUGCUAAAUACUCUGCCAGUUGUUCCAGUAGAGGGCAGUAAUUUACAUACAGUGAUUUCCAGCAGUAUGGGUGCACAAUAUGCCUGGAAGAACACUAGACACAAUAACCGGUUUUAUUAAGACGAGGCAAUAUUCAAGGCUUACUGAAUGCCUCAAGUACAGUGUGCCAUCCUGGAGUUUUACUUUCUGUGCUUUUGCAGCAGGACUUAAUCACGUUUAAUUACACCAGGAUUUAUGCAAGUCAUACUCAGCUCACUUGAGUAAAUCACCUCCACAUGCCCCGGUGCUCCAUGCAGAGGUAUGCAGCACAUGCCCUCAAUUUAAUGCUACAAAACCCCGGGACUCAGGGACUGUGACACAGCUCUUGCAUUGUUUUGGGCACUUGAUGGAAGAAAUCUUACCAAAAAACAUGUGUUAGGUUCCCAGGGUAAACACUUGAGGUCAGAAACUAUGGAUGCAGCCCCUCUUACCUGCAGGGUGCUCAUCUAGAGCAGUGUGGACAAAGCAACUCUGCAUCUUUUGGCCUGGGGUCCUGAGAUUACUUACAGACUGAAUGUGUUUAGCAAUGUCAAAGUAGCCCCAAACUCAUCAGAGUUUAAAAAAACAAAAAAACAACGCUAACAAAAAAACCAAGAUGCUUCCAGCUAGAGCAUCAUCCAAACCUAAAACAUACUCUGCUGUUCAAAGUUAUCAGAGAGAAUUGUAUUUCAGCAUAUAAUUUAAUCAAGAUACCGACUCUCCCCUGUUGUUGUUGAACUGUAAGUACAUAGAAGAGUUGUUACGUCCAGAGAUCAUUUUUACAGCUCCGGCAGCAUGCUGUAAUACAGUGGAAGAGGAGGCACUGAAACUUAAAAAUUUUGCAUUUUUAAGCUGCAACAAUUUGAUUCCUAACCUAUUUCAAAGCAAGUACCAUUUAAAAUUCCUGCUUAGCUGAGAAUUGUUUAAACUGUAUUUCUCUAGCAUUAAUGCUCAUGCUGUGACUUGAAAGGUAGAAUUCAAACUCUCUAAUUGCUUUAAUAUAUUUCUUUGAGUACCUUUAGUAUCACAUUAAAUCAGAAAACAUGCUAAAUUGGUGCAGAGAAAAACAUUUUUCAAGGGCAGGAUGCUCCUGAACUUCUGGUAUUUUGGCUGUCUGUACCUUAAGGCUUUAAGAAUCAAAACAUGGUGCUUUUCAGGGGUGAAGGUGCUGCUGGUUGGGACCUGCAUGACUGCAAGAGGAAGACAGGACUCAGAGGCAUCCUAAGAUUUGCCUGUGAAACAGCCUUAGAGGAAAUUCAGGGUAAUUGCCAGCUCCGAGAAGGGGAUAGCUUGAGGGAGUGUUGAAAGAGAGAGGUCAGAACAGUACUGUAGCAGGUGAUACCUCUCCGUCAGAAUGCUGAAGAAUUAUACUUAGUGCUGGAAAAGAAGAGAUCCUUUAGAUUUGGGAAUCACCUGCAGUUGGUUCAUAGCUUGGAGUUCCCAAAAGUGUUUUGCAUACAUAUUUAAAGUUUGGAGAAGUGGGACCUGAACAUCUAUCCCAACACACUGCUUUUAGGUAUUUUCAAUGUGCGUCUCGUUCCUCUGGUAAAGACACCUCCUUCUCCCCACACCACCCCCACCCAUCCUGCUCUGAAUGACAUGCUAUGUAAUAGCUUAUCCCGAAUAAUGCUGUAGUAAAUUACUUGAGACUGUGAGUCCUUUAUGUGUCAUUUUACUGCUGAAAGAAUAUGUGAUUGGCAUCUCAUGGUUUUACUCAUUUUAAGAGGUCUCUUUAACAUAAGGACAGAUUUUAUCUAAAUAAAUCAAUUUUACAGGGAGAUUUCAGCCACUGGAUUUGUAGUAAGAAAGAACUUUUUAUUUAUGACAUCGGAGAGACCACAGCUGGGAAUGCACCCUUUAAUAGACUCAGACAGAUGGAUUCUGACAAGUCUGUGAACUAUUCACGCUCUUUUCUAGCAAAUAUUUUGCAGCAAUCCCGACUUGCAAAUGCUACUUCAGAAACAAAUAUGGGACUAUCUGUCUCAAAGUGCAAAACAAAAGAGCGACAAGUGACUUUAAAAUACUGUGGAUUGAAUACCUACGUGAUAUUCUCAUGAAAUUUAGGAAGGAGUGCUUUUAAUGGACAGUAGUUAUGCCUCGAUGGUAAAUGAAAGUACUAGAAGGUUUGUAUUUUUGUAGAUGUAAUGAAGUUAGGAUUUUCAGCAAAGGCUGGCACCGCUUUUUUGGCAAAACAAAAAUAUUUUCCUUUUGUAGAGUAUUUGUCCAUUUGUGUUUUCACUGUCUGAAACAGAGUAAACGCACGUCUUCAGAAUAGCUCCCUCAAUAAAGCAGCAGAAAUAGAAGAAAAUGAUACAAUAUGAGCGAGUACUAAAGGGGGUGGUAGUUACAAGAAAACUGAAGGGAGGAGUAUUGCUCUGCAGUGGUGUUGGUAGUCACUCAGAUCACGUACCUUCGAGUAGAACCAGUGCAUGGCAUGCAUUAUUCCUCUUCAAUUUUUAAAGUUUAAUUUGUAGUUGUAAAAUCUUACUGAACACCGCUGUAUUUCUCACAUCAUAGGAAGGUGAAAAUGACAACUGAUUCUUCUUUUCUACGUAAUUUAUUACUUCAUUCACCUUUACCAUAUCUUCUAUUACUUUUCUCAGUUGAGAUUUUCAAAGCCUCAUAAUAGCCUUGAGCCCAUCAGCUGUCUUUGAACAGACUGGGAAAUUGCAUAGCCAAACAGACACAGUCAGCUUUCAAAAUGUCAGUAAUCUUCAUUAACAGACAUAAUUGGACAUAUGUAGCCUGAACCUCUGGACCUGCCACAUGGUGAGGUGGUUGGGGCUUUGCCCAGCAUCCUUCCUGGGAAGAACUCUUACAGCUUCCUUAUCAGUUAAAGAGCUGAACCUUUUUUAUUUUUUUAUUUAUUUUGGCCAAUUACACUAAUGAAAAUAUACAGCAAGUUCUCCAAAACCAGCAGAAACACUCUGGAGUCUGUUGUAAGGAUGGCUUCCGUCAUCCUGACUUGACUCACUCCGUCCCUGCUGAAAAUUAAGAAGCGUUAGUUCCUAGAAAGUCGGAAGCAUAGAGUUUUACAUCAGCGUGGCAAAUAAGUAUUUUGGUAAUUACAUUCUCUCCCUCUAUAUGUCCCUAUGUCUAUAUGUCUAUAUGUUCCAAAUGCUUUUAUUUCGGAAUGAAUUUGAUUCUGAUAAUUUGAUUAUGGCCUUAAUUCAGCAGAGCAGUUACCUACCAUAUAAACUUAAACACAGAGUUAAGUGUUCACUUAUCUGGACUCACCCGUUUUGUUACACUUAACCUCUAAACCAACAGCACAUUCUCUUUAAACAUAGUACGUAUGAGUUCAGUGUGGUAGGAUGCGUUCAUCAGAAACUGGAAGGUACCAGAACAUCUGUAUUUCUGAUGUAUCAUAAAGUAGAGGCUACUGUAGCUAAUCUGAUUCAAAUGGAGAUCAAAUAAAUUCCAGAAUCUAGGUUAGAAAAGACACUACCGAAUAAAAUUGACUCUGAAACAUCUGCUUUGUUUUAUACAAAACCAUAAAAUACGUAAUUACAGAACCGCCAGGGCUGUUUCUUUUGAAGGCAUCCUAAACAACAAGGACAUCAGGACAAGUGUUUAUCAGGCCAAGGCAGAUAGAUUAAUUGUGGCAUGGCAGCCUUUUAAAGAAGCAGUUUCAUAGGGAUUAUAAAACAGCUGGGACGAAUUGUAGGUGGGAACACCAGGAUCCGCAGAGCUGUUGUAAAUCUCUGCAUUCUAGGUCAUGGCAGAGCUACAGCGCAGAGCACUCGCUCCUUCACCCCUUGUUGCUUUCUCUUAAGGCUCCUGGCUUUUAGAGGGCUGCAGUGAUUAUCUCCUCUUUAUGGAAAGGAUCAGUUGGUGCAAAUGCUAGGGAUCCUGAAACUGGGAAGACAGUUUAUUGCUGUGACAGAUCAGGCAACAUAUGGAAGGAAACAAGACUUUCUCCAGAGACAGAUUAAGUUUUUGCAAGGCAUUUUAUUGAAAUUUUGGAAAAUAAACAGGUCAUUAAUUGGGUCCAGAUUUAGCUACUGCAAAUAGUGCAAAGAUGUUGCAAACCAGAUGCUUUCCCCUAUUUGUUUUUACAGCCCUUUCUAUUUGUGGAUGCUCUUAUUUAAUGACUUGUUUCUCUAAUAGAGGGCAUUGUUUUACACCGGACGUCUCGUCUCUCAAUUAUUUUUGCCAGUAGAUGCCUGAGUAAAAUAUGUGUGUCCACAGUGUUUCAGGGGGAAAAAACAGUCAGCAGUAAGCCAAUAAGUAGGAAAUAAUUAGGAGGAAGCUGUGGAAUACAGUGGUUUUUAUAAAGUCAACAUAAUUUUUUCCUGGAUUCCUCAGCAUGUAGUAGUUUUGAGCUUUUGUCCAUGCAGACCGUGCUAGUGCAGUGGUGGAAACAAAGACGCCUGUCCCUUGGACAGCAUCCUGAGACUUGGCUUGCCAACGACGGUGUGACUGCGGCCCACAUCAGCCUCUCACGGGCUUUUCUGAAGCAUGUGGCACAGGCACUGACGUACCUGUCAGCCCUGGUGCAGCACAGUUUCCUAGCCGGAUCUCUAGAUCAAGGCUGGAUCCCCAAACGGGAAAGCGGCAGCCACAUCAGCUGAGCCGUACGGACUGGCAGACGUACUCUGAGAGAAGCAGUCGUGCUUCCUUUUCCACUUCGGUUUCAUUUUGUCCCCGGAGUAGAGGCAUUGCGUUGUGCUCAAUCCACACAGCAUGAUUCAUGUUAUAAAUAACAUAGAGGGUGAGAUAGGUGACUGCCCUGGCUUGAAAGCAGCGAGUGCGGUGGGGAUGCCUUCCGAAAGCACUGAGCUGGUUGCACUGGGGGUCCUCUACAGUCAAGACAGAAGUAGGGACCUCCCAGAGCAAGUCCUGUCAUCCUGAAAUGGAUGUCGGAGACAAGUGGGGUGAAUUGCCCUCCGGGGGUGCUUGUUUCCCUCCACAGUCCCAGCCACGUGACAGCACCAAAGACGCCUCCGCAGGAGUGAAAAGCCGUCUCUUCGCCUGCCACCUGAGGGCAUUUGAUAUGGAACUUGGUGAGACGCUGGCAUCGCAGAAGUUUAAUUUUAGAGAUUGUUGCCCGCAGCAUCUCUGGCUUCGUUUGGAGAUACCUGCUCGAGUAAGCGAGGCAGCAGAUCGGGUUGACAAGGCGCUUGGGACUUCGGUGGCACUUAAAGUUAGUAAUGAGAGCUGCAUGAUUUUAUUUUUAUUCCUGACUGGUUUAUCUAAGCAACAAGAGCAACAGCUAUAUAUGGAAUUUUAGAUUUCCUACUGCAUGUUUUAAAGUGCAUUUUGAAGCCCACUUUUCAAACUAUUGUUUAGUUAUCCGAUGUGUGAAUGUUUGUUGCACUUUGUAUGGUGUACUCACAGCAGAAGUCUGUCAGCCUGAGGUAGGUGCCCUGUUCUUCACAGUAGGUGCUAGUAGGUGCUUAGGAAAGGGUAGAAGGCCAUGGCAAGUUUAAGGUAUCAGCUCCUAGCUUGCAGGGUUCAGUAAAUAGUUCUUUGCUGCUGUUGUUAACGAGGCUGCCAAUUAGGAACAAAGUAAGAGGGAGGUUUACAACGUGACUGUGCACUUCCUAGCCGAGCUACACCUAAGCUGGUGAGACACAGAGUCUGUUUCCCGUUUGUAAUCUUUUGGAAACGUGUAAUCCUUCACAUCACAAUUACUACUUUAAAAAGUUAUUUUCAAGUCAUUCACAGGUGCCUCCCUGUCACGUGGACUUUCACUGGUCUGAGCAAAGGAGGAGCAAAGUUUAUUUUCAAAGCAAUAUGGGUUUAUUAGUGGUUUGGAAGCAAAACGUUCAGAAUGCUAUUCGGUUUUAAUUUAUGGUACAACCUAUUAACACAGGUAACAUAUUAUGAAACAGUGAGUGUAUUAUUUGUCAUAAGUUCCAUGGGACAUAAGAGGGGAAAAAUAAAGACCGAAGUACCUGAAUCGCUGGUUCAUUCUUUUGCAAUCCGAGUGUACCGUACAUAGAAAGAACAUGAAAGCCAGUUCUCUUCUACACCAGUACAAGUCCUGAACAACUACGGGGUGAUCGGUGGUUUUUGGUUUGGUGUAAAAGACCUCCGCAGCAGAAUGGUCCUUCAGGUUCCACUUCUAGCUUAAUUUCAUGUCCUUGUAGCAUUUACCUGUCAAGAGAGAAAAAAAAAAAUCAGCAAACAUAAACAGGACCAACCUUUUUCAGAGGUCAGGUGCAACUUCAGUUCUGCAAUUUUUAGUUGCCCAAUUUGAGAUACUUCAAAGAGGUCUUAUGCUCUGACGCCCAGAAAGUCAGAGCUUUGCGAGUGUCAUGGAAAAUCGACCCAAGAUGAGUAGUUCCUUUUGAAGGUUUUGGCCAAGGAAUUUUUCCAGUAAAACUACAUUCCAUAAACAUGGAGCAACACCUUAAGUAGACAACAACAAAUGAGGAACACUGCGGGUUUGAUUUGAAAGAGAGCUGUAUAUUCAGAAAGUGGGUCGGGGAGGAAGCCUGGUAGAGAGUGACUUGAGAGGGUGCCAGCACAAACAGAGGGUAGACGGCAAUAUUUUCAUCACACUGGAAUCGAGAUAGUAAAAGAGAAAUUUGCUGCUGGGAUGGAGCUUAUCAACCAGCUCUCUUGGUCUACGUAUUUUGAACAGAGAGGGAAUCAACAGAGGAGAAGAAGUCUUGGUAAGUGGCUGCUGGAGGAGGGGGGAGGAUGUGCACGUAGGUGUAGGGUUAGAGAGGGGAGAGGUAGAAAAAGAAAAUAUGCUGCAGGGCAGUACAGCUGACACGGGACAGUGCGGGGGGAGAGUAAUUCAUGCAAUUUUCAUUGCUGCGGCAUGUUGGGCUCUGGGCUCUCUCCGGUCCUUCUUACUCACUGAAGGCAUUUUCCAGAGCCAGGCUGUGGGGAAGGAGAGGAGCGGGCUACGUGCUCUUUCUCAGGAGAAGCAGCGUGGUGGCUGGCAGGGGAGCCAUGUGAAGCCCUUUCCUCUGCAUGGCUCCAGCUAUUUGGCAGGCUUCCACUCCGUAAAAAAAACCACCUGCAGCUUGUUGGCCAGGAUGACUUUAUCCAGCUAGAUAAAUGAGCUCUACACUGUCCAUAUAGUGCAUUGCAAACUGUGAGUGGGGAAAAAAAAAAAAAAGAAAUACAGGUUCAAGAAAUGGAAAUUUUGAGUUGUGCACAGCAUAGUUGGCUGCAGGGAGGCAGAAAAUCCUGAUGAGUUGACUUGCCCAAUUCAUGAAUAUCUGUUUACAUUUUAAACCGUUCCACUGCUGAUUUAUGGUGGAAAGUCUGCCAGGGCUUAUUUUUUCUUUUAUAGCAAAAAAAUACUUAUAACUUUAUGAUACUCCUAAACCUCCUGAUAUUAAAAAAUAAUUAUUAUUUGGGA